rnacentral:rRNA from 1 species
GACGAACGCUGGCGGCGUGCCUAAUACAUGCAAGUCGAACGCAGUGGGGACGGGUGAUUAACACGUGGGUAACCUCCCAUCAGAGGGGAUAACACUUGGCAACAGGUGCUAAACCGAUAUUGAUGGAUGGACCCGCGGUGCAUUAGCUAGUUGGUGAGGUAACGGCUCACCUAGGCGACGAUCUCUAGCUGGUCUGAGAGGAUGAUCAGCCACACUGGGACUGAGACACGGCCCAGACUCCUACGGGAGGCAGCAGUGGGGAAUAUUGCACAAUGGGCGCAAGCCUGAUGCAGCCAUGCCGCGUGUAUGAAGAAGGCCUUAGGGUUGUAAAGUACUUUCAGCGGGGAGGCGUUACCCGCAGAAGAAGCACCGGCUAACUCCGUGCCAGCAGCCGCGGUAAUAU